rnacentral:lncRNA from 1 species
UGCCAUUUUGUGAUCUCCACCCUACACCACACUCAAAAAACUAGAACAUCUAUCCUCCAUAUCAUAAACACACAGCAAACCCAGCGUUGAUUACGUGGGAGGGUCCGUGGGUGUGGCUGGUGAAGGAAGAGAUGAGGGGAAGGAGCUGGCUGGCUGGGUCUUGAGCCUUGCCUAGUCCCAUCAUGACUGGUGGGGUGACCCUGGGCAAGUGGCCUCCCCUCGACCAGCCUCAGUGUUCUCUCUUUAAAAUAGGGGCAGUGGUACCUUUCCUCACACUGCUGCUGUCAGUGUGAAAUGUUGUCAGUGUUGUUGAGCAAAUGGCUAAGGCUCACCCUUAGCCCACUGGCCAAGCUGAGCAAAAGCAAAUUGUGACUUGCUCUUUCUCCUGCUGGGACCCUGGAGAAGCCCUAGGGCAUCCAUCUGUAGAGACCAGAGAGGGACACAGCCCACCUCCCAGCACCACCUUAUCACAGGCCCAAACCCUCGAAAGAGGACCCUGCAGUCUACCCUGCGGCCGCUGCUGGAAGGCGGAGUGAGGGUGACGUCCAAUCCUGACCAGACCCAGCUUCUCUUUUCUAGGUGCUGGAAAUACAGCUGUGGACAAAACAGAGUCCCUGCCCUCCAAGAGUGCACAGCCUACAGAAGGGAGCUAGAGAAGGAACAGACGCGAAAGCUACGAAGUGUCACAUGACAGCCAGAGCUGAGGGCAAAUAAAGCAGGGUGAGUGGAGACCAUUUCAGAAGAAGAAGUCAGAAAACCUCCUUGAGAGGUGAAGGACGAGAUGGGGUAAUCCACACAGAAUGAGGAGGAAGAACAUUCCAGACAGAGAGGGUAGCUCUCCACCCAAGAUAUCAGGCUCUCUGCUCACCAAACUCUCACCAAUACAGCUAUCACCGUCCUCUCCCCCCGCCCCCCCUUACUCUUUGGGAGUCUGAGGCAAAAUACACACAUAUCUAUCAUUUGAGGCAAAACAUCUUUUCCCAUGUUUAGUGAUCAUUUAUUGUUCUUUUUCUGUGAACUGCCUGUCGUAUGACCUUUCUCUAUUUUUUCUAUAGCGGUGUUUGACUUUUCCUUACAGAUUUGUAAGAGCUUUACAUUUUAUUUCAAGGGUGUGAAGACUUUGUCAGUUAAGGUGCAACUAUAACCAAGAUUUGCAAUUUUCUUCUAACUUGACUCUCAUGCCUUUUUCCAUAGAGAAGUUAAAAAGUUUCAUGUAGUUAAACUUGCCAAUCAUUUAUGAUUUGGGAUUUUGUGUCUUUUAAGAUGGCCUUUCCCAACCCAAAAUUAUACAAAUGCUUUCCAGAUUGUUGAGUACUUUGGCGUUUUAAUAUGUCUAAGGCUGGGAUUUUUUUGGGGGUGGGGGGGGCGUUGGGGAUCUAUGACAUGAGGUGAGAAAUCUCACUUUGUUUGCCCAGUCGAGAAGCCGGGUAUUCUCAGCACCGUUUAUUGAACAAGAAUUUGGUGGUUCAAACUGUGACCUCUGAGCUGGAGUCUCAGCUAGAAAAUGGCUCCACCCGUCUCUGGCUUUGAGCCUUCAGGGACAUCACUUAAGGUCUGAGUCUCAGAAUUGUCAUCAGUAAAAAGGGGGUGAUUCCAGCAUCCUCUUCUUCGGGUGUCCUGAGGAUUAGAUGAGAGUCCGUGGAAAGCACCAAGCACUGUGCAUGGUAAAUGGGAGCCAUUGAUUCUCCUCGAGCUGCAGAUGCCACUGGUACCACUUCCCAAAUUCCCACGAGCCUGUAUGAACUCCCUGUUUUGUCCCUUCCUCAGCCGGUUAAAAUUGCUGUUGCCUUAUGGGAUAUCUAACAUUACAAAUCUUCCUUUCUUAAUUUCCUUUUUCAAAAUUUCUUAGCUAUGUCACAUUUUAACUUGUCAUUUUCCAUAAUUUCAUCAGGGUUUUGGACAGCGAAAUUGUCAUGUCUGUUCUUUGGAUUCUCCACAUCCAGGAGCAGAGUGUGUCUGUCCAGCCGCUCUCCCCUUCUGUGUCCCCAGGAAAAUGAUGGCAUUUUCUGCACCAGGGUCCUUCACAUUGUCGGCCUGGUUUAUUCCUAGGUAUUGUGUGCGUCCAGACCCUGUGGUAAGUGAGACCUUUUCCACUGUCUUUUGUGAGUAGGAAGUUGUCGGCACGUUAGAAAGCUACUGACUGUAAGUUUCCAUCUCGCCAUCAUUCUCGGUUCCCAUGUGGUUUCUGUUCAUCUGAAGUCUUUCUCCCUUCCUUGCACCUUACAAGUCCAUAAAAAUUUAGAGUUUGUAUAAGAUUUCCAAACACAUCCUCUCAUUAAUUUCACAACAAUCCCAAGUGGUCAGCAAAGCACAGCCUUGGGGUUUUUUCCCUCAUUGUACAAAUGUGGAAGGCGAGGGCUCAGGGAAAGUGUAUAACACGCCAAGGUCAUCGUCCCGAUGGGUGAUGGAGCCAGAAUUCAAACUCAGGACCAUCUGACUCGAAAGCCAUCCCUCUUUCUACUGCCCUCAUCCAUUCAUACUUUGUCAUUCUGCUGUCACCCAAGAGUCCCCACGACCCACAGCCUUUCUCUCUGUCCCUGAAGCAUGCGACAUUUGCUCCCACUUCAGGGCGUCUCCCCCACUGGCAAUGUGAGGCCUCUGAGGGGACAACUUGGUCUGACAACAUCACCACUGGGUACAGUGGCUGGCGCAGCACCCAGCCAGGGCCAGCUUCACGGGCGUGUGACCUCUGCAACCACACAGGCUCCACGCUCAGAAGGACCCCACCUUCGCUUCAACUUGCUAUAGCCAUCUUAAUAUUCUUGAUAAUUUUGUCUUUGUCCUUAUGAUUUCUAAGUGAGGUCUGAUGGGACAAUGGAGCAUGUGCGUGAGCAGGGAGGCAUGCAAUACAUGUGCCCCCAUACCCUGCACAGAGGAUUCACGAUGCCCCGUUAGUAUACAAUCUCGGCUGUCGCCUGAUGCGUGGCAGUUCCAUGAGGCCCGAAGUGAGUACGAGGUAAGCGUUACAUCCACGGCUGAGUGAGCGGGGAGCCGACAGCCCCGAGGGCACGCACGCUCGCCUGUUCCAAUAGCCAGAAAAGAAAAAAAUAACUAUGUGAGGUGACGGAUGUGUUCAUUACCUAGAUUGUGGUGAUCAUUUCACAUGUAGACGUAUGUCAAAUCAUCACACUGUACACUUUAAAUAUAUAGUUUUAUUUGUUAAUUAUACCUCAGUGAAGCUGGGGGGAAAAACUUGCUUCAAACCCAGAAAGAAGGCCAUGGCAUUCUGGGAAUGUGAACGCCCAGGAAGCUGUCACAGGCUUUCUUAGUGAGGGUGGGACCUCCCGUGGCAGCCAAUCCUUUGUGCUGAGAAUUCUUUCCCUUUCGGUCCUUCCUCGCUCAUCGGUAGGACGAAGGCAGAGUGCAGUAGAGUGGGUGCAGACCAAGAAGUGAAAUAAAAGCGGUUGAGUUCAUUUUGUGCAGGUUCCACUCUUCUGCUAAGAAUGAAAUAGCCACCUGUGUAUAAACUACAAAAUACACGUGUCAUUUCACUGGUUCUGCAUGUGAGUUAAAUGCUUAUAUUUGCAUUCUAAACAGGCAUUGCCCAAUAUAAAGACGAGCAAUAAAAUUUAUGCUAAUAAUUUACAGUUUAGUUUUGCUUUACCUAGAAUGACAUGAAAUAGCAAGCACGAAACACUACGACAAGUUCAGAGAAGGAGACCGUGGAAGAAAGGGACAAGCUUUAUAGUUUAGAACCUUUAACGCCACUUUAUUCCUGCUUCUGGAACCAGAGCCUUACAUUUCUUAUUUCGCACAGGAUCCAGGAGCCCCGUCCCAGCACAAAGCGGGUGCUCCAUAAAUGUUUCAGCGAACCCGCAAAGGCUCUUAGGGGAGAAUACUGACAAAGUGGGCAUCGGGAGGGGCUGGUGCAGGGAGGCUGGACUGUCCUUUCAAGCCUCUCUCUGAGGGACGCACGAGCAUUAACCCAGCUCCCCUCCUAUCGCCUGUGCACAGACGCAGCGGGCUGGACCUGCUCCUACACAGCCUCUUCCAUCCAGGGCCAUUCUCUGUGCAAACCCCUGCAGGCUAACGGGAGCUACUGACAGCGCCCGGGAACUUAGACCUAAAGAACGCCUUCCAGUAGGAUGCCACCAAGACUGGCUCCCCUCUCUAAAGUCCCCGUGCCCCAGGGCGCUUUACCGCCUCCUCUUCCCAGACACACUCUUCCGCCAACUGCUGCGCAUCGUCUCCUCUGAGACAGGACUUAUUCCUGCGCAUUUCCCAAAAAUGCAGAGGAGCAGCGGUUCCUGCCACCGCCCUCCGUUCUCUCACCAGCGCUGUGCAACAACGUGCUUUUGUAUUCUUUCCACCCUUUGCAAGCGAGGCUUUGACCCUUCUGUUGUCACCGUCCCUGAGCUGUGCUAUUUUGUCAUGUGCCUUAGUAAUUAGCCGGGCUCCCUGCCACCUGCCCUGGCAUGCAGUUUUGCCCUUGGACUCAGCAUAAAGCUCUGGGGAUCGCCAGCAGGUAUAUCUUGCUACCCUCCUACUCGUCUUCUUGCACACCCAUGGUGAUGACUGCACACCCUCAUAGUCACAUUCACACGCGCACAGAUGCACGUGCAUGCACAGCCAUGAGAUUUCACACGGGUCGCUGCCGUCGACCCCUGCAGAGACUGCGGGGUGCCUGGCCCUCUCCACGCGUCACCUCGUUUUUCUCUCAGAGUAACCCUGUGAGGAGAGGGAUGCGCAUCCCUGUGUCAGAGGACCAAACUGAGGCCCAGAGGAGCCAGGAAACUGCUCGUGAGCAACAGGCCCUCGAACGCCCACGUCUGUGCUCUUCCUGCCGGGCGCUGUUCUGCUCGUGGAACAGACACUGACGGGAUCCUCGUGUGCCGGGCGCUGUUCUGCUCGUGGAACAGACACUGACGGGAUCCUCGUGUGCCGGGCGCGUGACCUCAGUAACAGCAGCUCCUGGCCUCCUCGGCCGUCACGUGUUCUCCACGGCAUCCUUUUCGUGCUCAGUCUUGACCUGGCGACAUUUCCUAGGUACAGGUGGUGGGAUUUCUCUCCUUCCUGUGAGGUUUUCCCUUCCACCCCAUAGAACCAUAUUUGAAGUGAGUCCUCUCCAGCGCGUUCCCAGACCCCGGAGUGCAUGGCGAUCUUCAGGGAGGUCCUCCCACCCCAAUGGGGGCCCUUGGAGCCCCAGACCUCCUGAGUGGGACCUCUGGGAGUGAGCCGGGAAUCUGCAUUUUAAAGCACGUCCGUGACCCUGUCACCACCAGUGCAUUUGGGGAGCCCGGAAUCCCUCACCUUUAUUGGUGUUACCUAAACUUUAUUGUGCACAGAAAUCACCCGGGAUCUCACUGCAAUGGUUCUGAUUCGGCAGGUCUGGGACAGGGCCUGGGACUCUGUAUUUCUAACAAGCUCCCAGGUGACGCUCAUACUGCAGGCCCAGGGGCCACACCUUGAGUACUGAGGGUUUGGGUCAGUGGUUUUCAGCCCCGGGUGAACCUCAGAAUCACCUGGGGAGCUUUUAGGGCUAAGCUGCCCGGGCUCCACCCCCAGGAAUUGGGUAAUUUGCUUAGAAUCAGAUCAAGUUUCCUCAGCUCAAUUGUUUCUUCGUGCUGACUUGCACUGACUUGCAAAAGUCUGUUGUUACGGUCUCAGGAAUUUUGUGAGCCCGUUGGUAAACAGAGCCACUACAACCAUUAAAUUAUAUCACCUUAAAAUUAAAUGAAUUAUAUUAAAAGCAAAGAUAAAUACUCAAAACACAUACUUCAUCAUUAUUU